UCCGGGUUUCGCCCGGCAGUCUCUCUAGAGUGCCCAGCUUAACCUGAUGGCAACUAGAGACAGGGAUUGCGCUCGUUGCGGGACUUAACCCAACACCUCACGGCACGAGCUGACGACAGCCAUGCAGCACCUCUACUAGCUCCCUUGCGGGUCGUUCCCCUUUCAGGGUCCUACUACUAGCUGUUCAAGCCUAGGUAAGGUUCUUCGCGUUGCAUCGAAUUAAACCACAUACUCCACCGCUUGUGCGGGCCCCCGUCAAUUCCUUUGAGUUUCAGUCUUGCGACCGUACUCCCCAGGCGGCGAACUUAACGCGUUAGCUUCGAUACUGAGAGCCUAAUUGCUCCCAACAUCCAGUUCGCAUCGUUUAGGGCGUGGACUAC
rnacentral:misc_RNA from 1 species